rnacentral:lncRNA from 1 species
UUCUGUUUAUAAUGCGGUAUUAAUUGCUAGGGGAGGCUAGGGAUAGCAAGCCAGUAGUUAAUAUUAGGCUCUUUUCGCCGAGGGAUCGGGUUAAGGGGAGGCUAAGAAAGUCGCAUAACAAUUAAUUAAUCAAAUUAAUAUUCAAGAGGAGUAGGUAAGAAAGAGUGGAUUAGAUGAAAUUGUAAACCCUCAACAACAUCCAUUCAUCCAUUGUUUUCUUUUGUCAAUUGAAUCAACUUUAUUUUGCAUGUUAAUAUUUUUAUUCUCAAACCCAAUUUAUUAAUUUUUAUUUUCAAGUCUUAUUAUUUUAAUUCACGCAAACGAGAAAGUCAUGAGUCUCUUGGGAAAACGAUACUUGGUCUUACCAUUUAUAUU